UGCCAGACUCCUACGGGAGGCAGCAGUGGGGGAUAUUGCACAAUGGGGGAAACCCUGAUGCAGCGACGCCGCGUGGGUGAAGAAGCGCCUCGGCGCGUAAAGCCCUGUCAGCAGGGAAGAAAAUGACGGUACCUGAAGAAGAAGCCCCGGCUAACUACGUGCCAGCAGCCGCGGUAAUACGUAGGGGGCAAGCGUUAUCCGGAUUUACUGGGUGUAAAGGGAGCGUAGGCGGCCUGCCAAGUCUGAUGUGAAAUACCGGGGCUCAACCCCGGGGCUGCAUUGGAAACUGGCAGGCUGGAGUGUCGGAGAGGCAGGCGGAAUUCCUAGUGUAGCGGUGAAAUGCGUAGAUAUUAGGAGGAACACCGGUGGCGAAGGCGGCCUGCUGGACUGUAACUGACGUUGAGGCUCGAAAGCGUGGGGAGCAAACAGGAUUAGAUACCCCAGUA
rnacentral:rRNA from 1 species